GACCAUCCAAUUCUUGGGCCAAAAGGCCCAAAUUUCUCAACUCCUCAAACCCAGGUUCAUGGCCACUCGGGCGUUACUUCUCGCGUUCAAACAAGAACAAGGACAAAACGCUCACCUUGGAUGCGAGAAAAAUCUUCCUUGGCGGCGUUCGCGAGCACUCCGAUUCAAGUCAUCGUCGCUGAUUCGCGUUUCCCUCAAGAUGGAAAGUGAAAGACGUCGAGUUCGGGCGUGGAACGAAGAUCCAAAGGGCGUGUUGUGGUUGUUGGAUCGAGACGAAGGCGAUGAAGGGAAACACGAUACGAAGUUUGGGAUAUGAAGACCCAGGUUCUGUGUGUUGAACAUUUUCUUUUAUAGAAGAAAGGUAGACCCUUGCGUGCGCGUCCGUGGCCGAGCGAAGCGAAGAUGGAGAUGACAACACGUCGAUGGUGAAAAAUCUGAAGAUUGUUGCGUAAUGAGGUUUCGAAGGGUGAAAUUUAAUUGAAAGGAAACAAGACUCGAUCGAGAUACUUCCACAAAACUUGGCAAAGCAUAGUCAAGACAACAAGUUUGAAACCUUAUAGGUAGAUUUUUGAUUGAAAUUAUAAUGUGAUUGGUUUAACAUGUAUGGAAUCGAACUUUGUAGAAUGGAAUUGAAUUGAUUGGAAUAUGAUUGGAAUUUUUAGAAUUGGAAAUAUAAUGGGUUAAGUUGGAAUUGAGAUGUAAUUUUGAAAUGGGAUUGGAAUUACAUAAUGUAUGAUUAUUUAUGGUUUUUAAAUGGAAAUGGUGUAUUAAGACAA